CCUUUCAUUCCGCGAGGUUGUGGAGGUGAGCUGAGGUUUGGCGUGGCCGAAUGCAGACCUCCAAGGCCUGCGUUGCGGGGUGCGAGUACGCCGCAGAGGCCCUUCGUGGGCCGGCAGUUUUGGUACAAGCCAUUUGCCAACCUGGGUGGGUAGGAAUAAGGUAGGACUCUUGGGCCUGGUGAGCAGGAGGAGCUGGCUUUUCCCGGGAUCCCCGCAUUGCUCGGGAGGCUCGAGCCGCGGAAAGCAGGCCCCGAGGGCGGAGGGCUUCGUGGCUGCACUGUGUGGCCCGCACGGACGCGUUCAUGGGCGUGCGGCCUUGUGUCUGGAUGCAGAUGUUAAAAUUAGGCGUUAUGGACAAGUACACGUUUUGUGAUUUUUCGUGAGUGCGAGGUGAGCAUUUCUGAGCCUUCCGUGCAGGAGGUGAGGUAAGCUGAUUCCUGGAGACACUCGCCCCAAGGUCAGGCAUAGGAAGAGGUUGGAGGGAUUGUUAGCACUGCGAAAGCGCGCCGCCUCUCCGCCGGAUCUUUGGAUAUAGCAAGUACGCUGGUUAGCACGGUUUUCUGCACGGUUUCCGGAAAAGCGGUUUUUUGAGUUAACUCCACUGUGCUGUAAUAAUGUGCUGAUAUUUGAAAGACAGACCUAACCUCUUGGUAUAACAGCAGUGCCGUUGGGCCCAAUUUUUGCUAAAUUUCGUUUUUGAGCAGUUAUUUCUGAAUACUUAGGUUUUCGUGUUUAAAAAAAACAGAACAUACUGUGAAAUUACCACAGUCCAUCGGACAUUUUGCAGAUCUCUUAAGAUCUUCCUGAUCUUUAUGAUGUCUUGUAUUUGAUCUAUUUUGUCAUUUUAUCCUAGGAUUGCUUUCUUUACUACUCUGUUGUCAUUCUCAAGUAUACUAAAGACAACGCUAAAACGGAAGAAUGUUGGUACCCCUGUAAGGGAGAUGAAGUAGUAAAAUAGACCUUUCUCCUUUUUUGCCCACUAUUGUCAGAUUUUCCAAUGAGAUUAUAAAAAGACAAAGGGCACCAUUGUGUGGUCUGUUAGCUUUUCAUUGAAAAGUGAGAAUUCAUAACUUGUUAGUUGGUACUCAUAAUGGCAAGGAGGUAAUAUGCCAAGGAAGAGGUUUCAGAGUGACUUUGAUGAAUGAGAAGAGGCUGUAAAUGGAAAUCCAGUAGUUUGGAUUGAUCUAGUAAAUGCUGAUUAUUUCUCCUGAUACAAUGAAGCAACACUGCCUUCUGACUUUGUAGAAGUUUUUCCAAGGAGUUCCCAUCGGCUCUUGAAAAAUGGCUUUUGGCCAUUAAUUGUAUGUGAAUACUAUUAAUUGUAUAUUACGUAGUUAGUACAAUUACAUUUUGUAUCAUGGGAUGAUGUUUAAUCCUUUUUUUUUUGGAAAUGACAGUACUGUUCUGGAAUCUUACUCCACUGGAUAGAUUGAGAAGACAACUGAAAAAUGGAAAUUGGGAAUUCAGUUUCUAGAUUUUAGAAUUUGAUUUGAAAUGGAUGAUUCUUACAUAAAAAUCCUUAAGGGCCUAGUAUAUGAUUUUUGCCUUGAUUUAUAUAAAAUGUGACAUAAUCUGACCACAUCCAAUUUUGUAUUACUGGGAUACUAGCUCUGUGGGCAUUGUUCAGAGAAACUACAUCACGUUUACUGAAUUGUCAGAAUUCUGAAGCAAAUUACAAGUGGUGAAUAAACAAUUUGGAGAAGGACUUGGGAGAGUAUGUAACGGGAGUGAAUUUUCUCAACUCUGUAAUGGCAUCUAAUUCAGCUGUGGAAAUUGACAGUGAAAGUGAUAGCUCUUCUUCUGGUAGCAGCUUAUUUAAAACUCAGUGUGUCCCUUACUCACCUAAAAGGGUGCAAAGAAACCGUACUAGAAAGUUUGUUCAUUCAGCUAAAGUUGCUCAAGCAAGGGAUUCAUCUAGUGACUCAUCUUUUGAACCAAGACCAUUGACUUUAAAAGCUAUUUUUGAGAGAUUCAAAAAAAGAAAACGUAAAAAGAAGAAAUACAAACCAACAGGAAGACCAAGAGGAAGACCAACCGGGAGAAAAAACAGUAGACGUUCCCAGAUAAAUAAGAAACAAGUUCAAGACAAAGGAUCUGGGUUCCCAUUUUUAGAAUCCGAGAAUGCAAGAAAACCAUUACCUUGGAGAAAAAUUUUAACCUUUGAGCAAGCAGUGGCAAGAGGAUUUUUCAACUACCUUGAAAAACUGAAGUAUGAAUACUACCUCAAGGAAUCCUUGAAACAAAUGAAUGUUAGUGAAGAUUUAGAAAAAGAAGAUUUUGACAGUCGUAGAUACAAAUACUUGGAUGAUGAUGGAGCUCUCUCGCCUAUUGAAGAGUCAGAAACAGAGGAUGGGUCUGCAACAAAUCUUGAACAAAAUGACAAAUGUGAUAUCAAAUUGGUGGACCAUAAUGAUUUCAUUAUAAGUUCUCAAGUACCAAAGAUGAAGAAUGUGUAUUUAGAACAAGAGGAAUGUACUGAAGAAGCUGCUUUGUCUAAAAAGAGAGCAUCAAAGUCUAAAAACAUUGGACAGAGGAUAGAAUGGUCUGAAAAGAGAUAGGAAUAUGAAUGUUAAAUAGAAGAGAGAAAACAGCUUUUCAUAGAAAGUAAAGAUGAUAAAUACAAAUACAUAUGUUGGUGUAGUGAUAAAAGAGAACCUGCUAAGGAGAGAAGAAAAUCUGAACAAGUUAGUGAAACUCCUAAAGAAUUACUAGAAAAAAUACUUUAAAACACAGUGAAAUUAUCACAGAAAAUUGAGGCUUGCAUAGCAGAAAUAAUCACUUGAGAAGUCAUAAACAGAAGAUCCAUUUUGCCUAUACUUGUUCAUUUCAGGGCUUUUCACUUGAACACAAUGUCUGGAUUUAAAGGUACAUCUUACGCUUUAGGUAUUGGUGUAUCCCAACAAUCUGUACAGUUCUAGGGUGAUAGUUUAGGGGUUAAUAUGAUUUGAACUCAUUCACGUUUAGAGGUAGGUGGAAAAUCCAAUUUUUGUUGAAAUUUAUUAAGGAUCCAAAAGUUCUGAAAAGUAAGUUGUGAGGUCAGCAUAUUGUUGUGUGCAGUAGUUAUUUGGGUAUGCAACACAAGUAUCAAGAUCUUGGUAGAAAUAUUUGCCACAAUACUUGACAAACUGAAGAGACUGCAUGUCUAGGGAGUAACAUGAAAAUGCCCUCUUCUGUAUCUUUAUUAAACAGUUCCUAUGGUUCAUCCUAAUAACAUAUUUGGAUAUAUUACAACAGAGAUAUUGAGGGUUUUUUUUUUUUUUUUUUUUUUAAGGAAUUCUACUUAAUAAUAGCAACUAAUUUUGAUUUCUAAUGCAUCAUUUCUUUUAGUGAUUUGACUUAACAGUUCUGUAUGUGCAUUAUACAGGGACAGGAAAGGUAAUCAGGACUAGGUGUAGUUGUCUUAUUGGAAUGACAAUUAGGAAUAAAGGUCUAGUUACAUAUUACAAGAACUUAAAUUUGUAGAGAGACGUUUCUCAGGAAGUAGCAUUGUAGCCUAGAGGUAGAGGGGUUUAUGUAUCUGGCAGGAUCGCACUGCAUGGUAUCUGCCCUCAGCAGCUCAUUCCUGCUGAGUGUUCAAAGGACAGUGCCAUAGAAACUCAGUAUCUGGCAUCGUUGGUUUUCUUGGCUUCGUGCAUGUUAAACCUGGUAUUUUUAUUGAAACAGUAUUCUUACAGUUUUUCAUACUGUUCAGCUUGAGAUAAUUUUCAAGAGGAAGUAAUGCUUCUCUUUUUCUAGGAUGUUUGAAAUUGAGAACCAGGCAGAUCCACACUCAGACCCUAAACAGGGCCCUGAAGUAAAGACAUUGGAUACCAAAGAUUACAGGUGGGGAGUUCUUAAAGUAUGUCCAUAUUCAAAUGGAGAAGCAAGAAACCCAGCUGAAAGAACUCUGGCAAGU